rnacentral:rRNA from 1 species
UAGCGUAUAUUAAAGUUGUUGCGGUUAAAAAGCUCGUAGUUGGAUUUCUGUUGUGGGCAGCCGGUCCACACUAUGUGUGAGUAUCUGGUUCGACCACGGCAUCCUCCUGAUGAACGCGGUGUGCUUCGCUGCAUGGCGCGGCUCUCAGGACUUUUACUUUGAGGAAAUUAGAGUGUUCACGGCAGGCGUUUGCCUUGAAUAUAUUAGCAUGGAAUAAUGAUAUAGGCGACCGAGUCUAUUUUGUUGGUUUCUAGGCUCAGUCGAAUGGUUAAUAGGGACAGUUGGGGGCAUUCGUAUUAUGACGUC